rnacentral:rRNA from 1 species
AUUGAACGCUGGCGGCAUGCCUUACACAUGCAAGUCGAACGGCAGCACGGGAGCAAUCCUGGUGGCGAGUGGCGAACGGGUGAGUAAUAUAUCGGAACGUGCCCAGUCGUGGGGAUAACGUAGCGAAAGCUACGCUAAUACCGCAUACGAUCUAUGGAUGAAAGCGGGGGAUCGCAAGACCUCGCGCGAUUGGAGCGGCCGAUAUCAGAUUAGGUAGUUGGUGAGGUAAAGGCUCACCAAGCCGACGAUCUGUAGCUGGUCUGAGAGGACGACCAGCCACACUGGGACUGAGACACGGCCCCAGACUCCUACGGGAGGCAGCAGUGGGGGAAUUUUUGGGACAAUGGGCGCAAGCCUGAUCCAGCAAUGCCGCGUGCAGGAUGAAGGCC